AGAGCGAACGCUGGCGGCAGGCCUAACACAUGCAAGUCGAGCGCCCAGCAAUGGGAGCGGCAGACGGGAUAGUAACACGUGGGAACGUACCCUUCAGUUCGGAACAACCCAGGGAAACUUGGGCUAGUACCGAAUACGUCCGUAAGGAGAAAGAUUUAUCGCUGAAGGAUCGGCCCGCGUCUGAUUAGCUAGUUGGUGAGGUAAUGGCUCACCAAGGCGACGAUCAGUAGCUGGUCUGAGAGGAUGAUCAGCAUCACUGGGACUGAGACACGGCCCAGACUCCUACGGGAGGCAGCAGUGGGGAAUAUUGGACAAUGGGCGCAAGCCUGAUCCAGCCAUGCCGCGUGGAUGAUGAAGGCCCUAGGGUUGUAAAGUCCUUUCGGCGGGGAAGAUAAUGACGGUACCCGCAGAAGAAGCCCCGGCUAACUUCGUGCCAGCAGCCGC
rnacentral:rRNA from 1 species